AUGAUAUGCACAACUUCAUGUUCUUCUGGUCAUUUUUGCUGAAGACACCUAUUGGUUUACUCUUUACCAUAAAGAUGUAAUUUCCUGCACAAUGUAUAGUUCAGAAAUUGCCUAAAAGUGAGGGUUUUUCAGGUCUAGAGGACCAAAAAUAUUGGGGGGGUUUGGCCAAAAAGCUUAACGUCUUGCAUAACCAGACAUCCAGAUGAGUUAACGAGUUGAUUGUAUGUGGGGAUCUUAUCAUACUGGUGAGUCAGGAGGCACCAAAACAAAAAUACAGAAGUGAUUUCAUAAGUAAUUCUUACAACAUAAAAAAUGGCAUUACAUAAUAAAAUGUUUCUGAGCCAUCCUACCUCAUGAAUACUGGGUUUUAAAGUGGAUAACACUGCUUCCUUAUAGAUGUAGUAUCUCAGCAGUGUUUUUGUCUGUAGGUAAUCUGGCUUCUUCUGACCUCCCAAAGAUAUUCAGAUUGGGGGAAUUGUUCAACUUCUGAGGUGCGACCACAGUACAAUCAAACAUUUUGCUGUGAAUAGUCAGCAGGGUUGCAAAUAAAAUGUAUAAAGAGAAAAGGUGCAAAUUAAUUGCAGAUGACCUGAGAAGAAAUAAAGGAACCAGCUAACCUCCACUGUCACCAAAGUCUAGAGCUGCAGUCCCACCUGGAUUGUCCAGAAGUAUGAGGUUGAACCACAACCACCACUGAGUAAGAUUCAGAAGUGGAAGCAUCAAGAAAUGCCUGAAAACUGAUUUUUCAAAGGUUUUAUGGACAUAAGAAAUGAGAGUGACUUUUAAUGGAGCAGAUGGGUGAGCCUGAUGCUGGAUCACUAAGGACACAGGGUACCAGUUUGAGUCAGGCACCAUCAAGGUGGAGGAAGUUUCUGGUGUGGAUUUCUGUCAUUAAGUAUGACCUAGUUGGAUCUUUUCUGGUUGAAGAUGGACUGAAAAUUGGCUAGUCAGGAAAGGCCUCAAAGAUGACGAAAUAAUGACCUGGCCCCCUUUCUUCCCUAACUUAAGUCUUACUGAAAACCUGUGGGCCCUCCUCAAGCGUGAGCGAAGACAAUUUACCACUUUGAACAGCAUAUGAGAGGCUGUGGUUGCUACCUCAGUCAAAGCUUAUCAUGAACAGAUGAAGAAAUUGGAAAACUCUAUGGAUGAGAGUCUUGUGGCAGUUCUUGUAAAGAAAGAGGAUGCCAGCCACCACCAGGACCAUGCAGAAAUGGACAGCAAAGACUGAUGGGGCUCUGAAGAAUGCCUUUGAAAGAACUGUCUGGGAUAUGCUUCACAUUUGGGUCACACAGUCAAGACAUUGAAGGUUUGUAUCACAGACUAUAUAUACCAAGUUUUAUGCGGAUAACCCAGUCCCUAGAAAGACAUUGCGCUAUUUUCCCAACAACAAGCCAUGGAUUACAAAAGACUUGAAAGACCUACUGAAUAUGAAGAUGAGAACCUUCAGGUCUGGAAAUAAAGAUAAAAUCAAGCAGGUGCAGUUAGAACUGAAUUAGCAGCUCCAUGAAGCGAAAGCCCACUGCAGAGACAAACUUGAGCCAAACAACAUGAAGUAAGUAUGAAAUGAGAUGAGGAAUAACGCUGACUACAAGCAGAGGAAAGGAACAAGAGCAGAGCUAAAUAAAUUAAGCAGUACAUCAACAGAUUUGACUUAUUUUUGGCAGCAUAGCCCUCUCCCAAAACUGCUAGUCUCUGUGUGCAAGCUGAGGUGUUUCUGAAAUCCCAAUUUUCAUUGGCACGCUGCACAACCUUCCUCUAAAAUGACGUCACAUGUCUAGUCUUCAGCCCCACUUCCCUCUCUAGACUGUGUUUCUUUGCUGAUCAAGUGAAGGAAAACUCUGCAUAUAUAAGACUUCAGGCUUGGAUGGAAUCAGUCUCAUGGUGCUAAAAACAUGUGCCAGCCAGCUCUGUGGGGUCCUUCAGCACCUGUUCUCCCUUUCUCUGAAUUUAUAGAAGGUUCUCUAACUGUUAAAAAAAACAUUCUGUGUGGUCCUGAUGCCAAUGGUAGGGCAGUCCAGUGUUUUCUGGGACUUUAGACCGGUUGGUCUUAUUUAACACAUCAUGAAGACAUUUGAGAGGCUGGUUCUAAAACAGCUACUACCCCUGGUUUCAGAACAUCUGAAUCCUCUGCAGUUUACCUAUCAGACACAUAUACUGUAGAUGUGGAUGAUGUCCUCAUCUAUCUGCUCCACAGAAUCUACUCCCACUUGGACAAA